GACGAACGCUGGCGGCGUGCUUAACACAUGCAAGUCGAACGGAAAGGCCCUGCUUUUGUGGGGUGCUCGAGUGGCGAACGGGUGAGUAACACGGGAGUAACCUGCCCUUGACUUGGGGAUAACUCCAGGAAACUGGGGCUAAUACCGGAUAGGAGCUCCUCCUCCAGGGGGGGGGUUGGAAAGUUUCGGCGGUUGGGGAUGGACUCGCGGCUUAUCAGCUUGUUGUUGGGGUAGUGGCUUACCAAGGCUUUGACGGGUAGCCGGCCUGAGAGGGUGACCGGCCACAUUGGGACUGAGAUACGGCCCAGACUCCUACGGGAGGCAGCAGUGGGGAAUAUUGCACAAUGGGCGGAAGCCUGAUGCAGCAACGCCGCGUGCGGGAUGACGGCCUUCGGGUUGUAAACCGCUUUCGCCUGUGACGAAGCGUGAGUGACGGUAAUGGGUAAAGAAGCACCGGCUAACUACGUG
rnacentral:rRNA from 1 species